rfam:Bamboo mosaic virus genomic RNA, complete genome.
AACGUUGCAUGAUCGUAAAACAUGCCCGGCUUACCGUGAGCCGCCUUUGAAAGAAAGGUUUACACGGACUCUGUUGCGUUACGCACGUACCUAACCCGUGCCAGCAGAAUAAAGACCUUUUGGUUUCUACAGUUUUUUCC